rnacentral:lncRNA from 11 species
UCUGGAGGGACUCUUAAUUUUUUUGUGUCUCAUAGACUUAGCAUGGGGAGUUGGUUAAUCAGUUAAAAUUCAUGAAUAAACCAGGUUUUUUUUAACCUGAAAAAUUGGGGGGGGGGGUUUGAACCUGCCAACCUAUGUCUCUUCCGUAGACUAGAUGUUCUUCUAAUUCUAUGAUUCAAAUACAACGAGAUCCCUAAUUGUAUGGAAGCAAUUCCUAUCUAUCAGCUUCUUUUGAUUUGGAAUCCAGGUCCAAGGGAAAAGAACUCUGAUCCCAAAUGAGGGUUCCAGUGUUUUUGAAAUGUAAGGGACAAGGCUGUGCUCCGCAGAUACAGAUCUGUUCAAAUCUCCCCUAUCUGACCAUUGUCUCAAGCUGAUCAAAUCUAGCUCGAUGCUAUCGUGGAAAAGUGCCAUUUCACGGAUCUACUAUACCUCUAAAAAAAGAAAAGAAAGAAAUUGACAUAUAUAUUUUGUUCCAAUCUGUCUCACAAUUAUAAAGAUACUGAUUCAAGCACAGUAAUAAAAUGGUACAUGCGGUGCUCGGAAUUGCUAGAAAACGAUUCAGGACUACAGAAACAGGAAUUGGAUUUUUUUUAACUACUUCAAGGAACACAUCAACAAAUGACAGUCUCCUGAUCCAUUUGUCCUGUCUAGAACAAAAGAAGUUGAUCAGAGUUGUUAUAACCUGUGCUAGGUGUCACCUGAGGUCCAAUACUGGGAGAAAGGAGAGGCAUAAAUUCAUAUUAACAGAAUGAAAUAAAAAUAAACUCUGUUUUCACCAACAAUAUCUCUCUGCAUUUCUACCUUUAUUUCUAUCACAUAGUCCACCUCUUUAUCACUAGGACUGUUGAAUUGAUUCGCAUGCUAUAAACUAAGUGCUAUUUAUUUAGGCUUAAGAAUUUAUACAGCAAACCAUUUAGCUCAUUUCCUAUUGCCCAGACAACCAUCAUUUCAAGCAGGAAAGAUAUGAAGCAACCUCCCUAUUGC